CAUUAGGUGGCUGAAAAUAAGCCAUGGAAUUUUAAACCAUUUUUAUAGUAAAAUUAUGCCUACUCCUAAUGA
rnacentral:tRNA from 1 species